GUCCCUGUAGCGCAACAGAUAGUGCGUUGAACUUCUAAUCCAAUGAUCGUGGGCUCAAAUCCCACCUGGGAUG